GACAGAGGGUGCAACGUUGUUCGGAUUUACUGGGCGUAAAGCGCGUGUAGGCGGCUUUGCAAGUCGGAAUGUGAAAGUCCCACCGGCUCAACCGUGGAAGUGCAUCCGAAACUGGCAUCGCUGGAGUCUCGGAGAGGGAAGGUGGAAGUGACUUGGUGUAGAGGUGAAAUUCGUAGAUAUCAAGCAGAACACCUGCGGCGAAGGCGGCCUUCUGGACGAUGACUGACGCUGAGACGCGAAAGCGUGGGGAGCAAACAGG
rnacentral:rRNA from 1 species